rnacentral:rRNA from 1 species
AUAUACAUGCAUACAAUGUUAAUACACUGGAUCACAUCAUAACUUCGUUGUUAAGUGUGCUUGGGCUAGAGUAGUACUGAGAUGGGUGACCUCCUAGGAGGUCCUAGUGUUUUACAUG